ensembl:rRNA 5S_rRNA 5S ribosomal RNA
GCUUACGGCCAUACCACCCUGAGCACACCUGAUCUCGUCUGAUCUCUGAAGCUAAGCAGUGUCGGGCCUGGUUAGUACUUGGAUCGAAGACCGCCUGGGAAUACCAGGUGCUGUAAGCU